AUGGAUCAAAAGUAUGUUGAUGUGACAAAAUCUCAAAAUAAGCAUGGCAACACCACAGUUCUCAAUCAUUACAAAGCAGAUGUGUUUAAUGUUGCAAUAGAUCAACAAGUGAUAGAGUUGAAUGAUCGAUUUAAAUCUCAAGUAACUGAGCUUUUAGAUCUUUGUUCAUCGUUGGAUCCGAGGCAUGAUGCUUUCAACAAGUCAAAGAUAUGCACACUAGUAGAGAAAUUCUAUCCAACAGAUUUUUCUAGUCAAGAAGAUAGGUUGGAGUGCGAGCUACCACAUUUUCAGUUUGAAACAUUCAACCAUCCAGAGAUCAAGAACUGCAAACCACUUGUCGAUCUGACAAAAGGAAUAGUUAAGACUGGCAAGUCUUCUGACUAUCCAAUGGUUGAGAGGUUGUUAUGA
rnacentral:rRNA from 1 species